UCCAUCUUUGUUUCCUUCCUUUUUCUUGAUGAUGUUUUCGAACGGCGUAGUAACAUCUUUGAACCGCUCUCAAUUACCGUUAUUUUAUGUCCACUCCUGCAAGUAGUGGGUGGAUGCAGAGUGAAUACCACGACGAAGAAACAAAACAAAAACAACAGCGGUCCGCGCAAUCGUAGCAUGGCAUCAGUAAGGAGCGCUGAGAACCCGGACAAGGUAAGAAAAAAAAAAUACUAGUACUGCAUUUCCCCUAUACCACUGUAUCGCACUUCGCCGAAGGCCCCUGUCGAGAUACGAGUACCUCUUUAUGCGCAGUACGUUGAGUAUACGUUGAUCCCCUAACGGCCAUUCGCUCUUCGGCAUCCUUACCGAAGCUGUUACGAGUAUCGGAUAACAUAUUUUGGGACAGUAUCUUUUAGAGCAUCCAUCACGGCUAUAUCGCCGUUCGUCCUCUCGACAAUCGUUCGUUAUACGUAUGCUAUGCGCACGCGCGUCGAAAGAGAGAUACGCCCUUUCCACAGCGGAAGGAGAAUUAUUUCAUAUCGCUGUAACUCCAGGCGCGGGCGUGGUCAGCUUCACCGGUCCCUCUCGGCCCCAGAGAAUCCAGCUAGCACGGUUCAAGGAACGGCAGAGCGGCAAGGACGUGACAUUCCGUGUUGCAUCAUCGUGACCUCAGCAUGACCUCACCAUAGAAUCUGUGCGUAGAGUGGAGGAGGAGAGCCAGUCCGCGAACGCCAGGUGGGACUUGGCCACGAUUUGGGACCUGCCGUUGGCGCACACCAGGCUGCCGUCGGCCCUGAGUACCACCAGCGUUGGCACUUCGCGGUGGUGUCGCCACCGGUGAUUCACUCUUGCGUCCAUUCUGGCUCACCGUGCCUUCUCUUAUGGUAAGAGCAGCCUUUCUUUUUGCAUUGUAGCAGGGUAACUUAUUCGUAUAGCUCAAGCUAUCUUUUGUUUAAAUUUUCUUGAACUAUUUUACGCACUUGCACUAAUCGCGCCGCUGUAUAGUCUCGCUCCUAUGUAGUUCUAUAGCGCGUCGUUGAUACCUCGACGGGCAGUCCUUGGCUCUUGGCCUCGCGGUAGGCGUCGGCCAGUACUAGCGUGAAGGUCACGCAGGGAGGACACCACUGGGCCGCGAAGUAGAGGCAGAUGAGGCGCUUGGAGCGCAGUGCGGCGUCGGCCGUGAUGAUCGUGCCGUCGCGCCUGACCAGGUACUUGCCCCGGAACGAGUUCAUCCGCGCUCAUGGGAACGUGUGCACGGGUGAGGGAGAGCGUUCGCUCCACCUGGGUAGAAGGGAGGAGAACAACAGACGAGACAAUAAAGGCCACACUAAAGAGCAACGCUAGAUUGGAUCUGGACGGUUAGGUUACUGCAAACUGCAGUUGUACUUCGGCAGAACUUGGCACCGCUGUCUCUGUAGCACACUUGUAGACUGACGUAUCUGCAGCCGGGCGCA